UACGAAGGGGGGCUAGCGUUGUUCGGAAUUACUGGGCGUAAAGGGCGCGUAGGCGGUGUGUCAAGUCAGGCGUGAAAGCCCCGGGCUCAACCUGGGAACCGCGCUUGAGACUGGCACGCUCGAGUUCGGGAGAGGAUGGUGGAAUUCCCAGUGUAGAGGUGAAAUUCGUAGAUAUUGGGAAGAACACCGAUGGCGAAGGGCAGCCAUCUGGACCGACACUGACGCUGAGGCGCGAAAGCGUGGGGAGCAAACAGG
rnacentral:rRNA from 1 species